rnacentral:rRNA from 1 species
CCUACGGGGAGCAGCAGUUGGGAAUAUUGCACAAUGGGGGGAACCCUGAUGCAGCGACGCCGCGUGAGUGAAGAAGUAUUUCGGUAUGUAAAGCUCUGUCAGCAGGGAAGAAGAAAGACGGUACCUGACCAAGAAGCCCCGGCUAACUACGUGCCAGCAGCCGCGGUAAUACGUAGGGGGCAAGCGUUAUCCGGAUUUACUGGGUGUAAAGGGAGCGUAGACGGCAGGGCAAGUCUGGAGUGAAAGGCAGGGGACCAACCCCUGGACUGCUCUGGAAACUGUCCGGCUGGAGUGCAGGAGAGGUAAGUGGAAUUCCUAGUGUAGCGGUGAAAUGCGUAGAUAUUAGGAGGAACACCAGUGGCGAAGGCGGCUUACUGGACUGUAACUGACGUUGAGGCUCGAAAGCGUGGGGAGCAAACAGGAUUAGAUACCCCAGUAGUC